GCCUGGCUAGCUCAGUCGGUAAUGCAUGGGACUCUUAAUCCCAGGGUCAUGGGUUUGUGCCCCACAUUGGGCA
rnacentral:tRNA from 1 species